AUGAACGCUGGCGGCGUGCCUAAUACAUGCAAGUCGCGCGAACAGACGAGGAGCUUGCUCCUCUGACGUUAGCGGCGGACGGGUGAGUAACACGUGGAUAACCUACCUAUAAGACUGGGAUAACUUCGGGAAACCGGAGCUAAUACCGGAUAACAUGUUGAACCGCAUGGUUCAACAGUGAAAGACGGUCUUGCUGUCACUUAUAGAUGGAUCCGCGCCGCAUUAGCUAGUUGGUAAGGUAACGGCUUACCAAGGCAACGAUGCGUAGCCGACCUGAGAGGGUGAUCGGCCACACUGGAACUGAGACACGGUCCAGACUCCUACGGGAGGCAGCAGUAGGGAAUCUUCCGCAAUGGGCGAAAGCCUGACGGAGCAACGCCGCGUGAGUGAUGAAGGUCUUCGGAUCGUAAAACUCUGUUAUUAGGGAAGAACAAAUGUGUAAGUAACUAUGCACGUCUUGACGGUACCUAAUCAGAAAGCCACGGCUAACUACGUG
rnacentral:rRNA from 1 species